rnacentral:rRNA from 1 species
ACGAACGCUGGCGGCGUGCCUAACACAUGCAAGUCGAGCGAGGAGAGUUCCUUUGGGAACAAACCUAGCGGCGGACGGGUGAGUAACACGUGGGCAACCUGCCUUGUAGAGGGGAAUAGCCUUCCGAAAAGGAAGAUUAAUACCGCAUAAUAUUACAGUUUCGCAUGAAACAGUAAUUAAAGGAGCAAUCCGCUACAAGAUGGGCCCGCGGCGCAUUAGCUAGUUGGUGAGGUAACGGCUCACCAAGGCGACGAUGCGUAGCCGACCUGAGAGGGUGAUCGGCCACAUUGGGACUGAGGCACGGCCCAGACUCCUACGGGAGGCAGCAGUGGGGAAUAUUGCACAAUGGGGGAAACCCUGAUGCAGCAACGCCGCGUGAGUGAUGAAGGUUUUCGGAUCGUAAAGCUCUGUCUUCGGGGACGAUAAUGACGGUACCCGAGGAGGAAGCCACGGCUAACUACGUG